CGUGUGUAUGGAGCCAUUGGGUGCGGUCACUAUAGCAACCAGGCUCACACCUGCCUGCUUAACGAGCUCUGCCUGCCACUCUGCCAAGAUUCAUCUUAAACACUUCUCUUUCAACUGCUGCUGUGUCCACAGUGUUACAGCCAUCAUUUUACCCUCAAAACGUCGCCAUCGUUGUUCUCUUUCCAACACUGUGUCUUUCAAAGCUCAGGAUUUAAACUUUUUAAACUGUGUGGAUCCAAGUGGAGGGAUCACAUUUUAGUCAUUCAGUGAUUCAAAGAAUAUGACCUUUUAAUAUUCUUUCAGAUGUUUUCUGACUCUAAAUGUUCUUUUCUCAUUUCUUAGGGUUUUCUAAUUUACAUUUAAAACAUUUUCAGUUUUUUCCAACUCCUUCUUCUGUGUAACCUUCAGCUUUUAGCAGUUCAGCACUUUUGUUUUCAGGUUAAAUUUGUUUGUUUUUUUGUUUUUUUUUAAUCUCAUUCAAUAUUUUUAACUCAAAAUUCAGCAAUUAAUUCAUUUCAGUGCAUACAUUCAGAUUCAAGCAUUCACACUGCAGUUUCUUCAGAAAAUGCACUUUCUAGUUAUUAUUAUAUUUUAUUCUGUAUUCCGUACGUUUUUUGAAAGCCUACUCCUUCAAAACCGUUCAACUUAGAAAAACCAUUCAAACACCGUUAGAUUCCUAUUCUUUUGGACAACAUUGCUUCUAUUUUUCUCAUUUUUAACAUUUAUAUUUUUAAUUUUAUUCAACUUUAUUCAACAAAAAUUUCCCAUGUAUUUCAAUGGGGAGACCCUUCAAAUUCUCAUUCAACUUACUCAUUUUUAAACUCUUACUACUUCAACAUACGUUCACAUAGAGCCACCAUUCAAACUUUAAAACGAAGACAAGACAUUCAACUAUUCAACUUGUAUUUAUCUUUUCAAUAUCUAUUAUACUUUUUCUUCAGUUCCAGUUUAAGUUUCAUGAUGUUUUUUCACCCGUUUCAGAGUUUAUAAUGGGUGUGUAUGGGACGGAAUGUUGGGGCUAGAGUGAGGCAGCUCAACUGCUAGAGUGAGAGGAGCAAAAAAAUUAAUCUUAAAAUCUUUUUUAAAACUGCUGCUGUGUCCGCAGCGUUUGCUCUACAGGUAUGAUUUUACCCUCAAAACGUAGCCAUCGCUGUCCUCUUUCAUCCAAUGUGUUUACUAUUGUC
ensembl:lncRNA